UGUGUAUAUAUUGUGUGUAUAUAUAGUGUGUAUAUACUGUGUAUAUAUACACACGUGUACAUGUGUAUACAUACAUACGUAUACACAUACUCACACACAAUGCUAAAUUAAGUAGCCUUUAGUUACAUGGUCCUGAGUUUCCAGUGGGCCAGUGGCCCUCAACAGCAGAAAGCUCUCCACACUCACCGCCAGCAGUUGGAAACUCCUUUCUGGAGGAGUCCUGGGCCCCCCCACUGUUUUGACUUAGGAGGCAGCACUUGUAUCUCCAUUUACCCAAAAUGCUUGCUGUCAUUUCCUGAUAAUAACAGUAGCGCUUGCCCCUUGUAGAGAACAGAGAUACCGCAGGAAAGCAUUCACCUAGAAGCCUUCUGUACAGAGAAUUGUUGCUAGGAGCCUCCUUAGAGGUUUAUUUUUCCAGGUUAUCAUAUGUGAAGAGGAAAGGAAAGGACCUUUUGACAUGCUAAUAGAUUUGCAGAGCCUGGAAAUGAUAUGAAAUGUGUCCUUUUCCCAGAGCUGAGUCAUUCUCCUCUUCGCUCCUUGUAGGAAAAACACAGUGACCUUUCCUUCCUCGGGCAGGCUGGGGUGAGGACACGUUGUACGGACCUCACAGAACCCUUCUUGGCCAUCUCUCGCUGUGCGUUGUUCUCCAAGCAGAAGGGAGCACACUGCUGACGAGGGCAAGAGUGGAGGCGAUGUGGUUUAUAAAGCACUUGGACACAGUCUUGCAUCAAUAUUUGGGCAGUGGUUUAUACAGAGCAGGACUCUCAGCCUGAGGUGAUGGGGUUCAAGGAUUCUCUGGCAGUUUACCCAGACUACACAGGCCCUUUCCGCUGUCACAGCCUGGCAAGUGCCAGGUGUUCGGGAGUCAUGGCAAGUGGUUCAGCAGAGGCCCGUGGGUAAUUCUCAUCCUAUCCUCUCCUUCUCCACCUGCUGAGACAGAGGCGCCAUCCACAGAGCUGCACGAGGCAGAGAACAGAAGGCACCCUUCGCGCCUCUCCUCCUCUCAUUCUUUGACUGGAGGACCUAAAACAGGUGGAAGACGCUGGCAGCCUGGCAGAACUGUGGCUGUCGCUGUCGGCAGGACCGACAGCGCAGAAGGAGCCUGCCACACACUCGACACCGAGUAACUUAUCAACCUGGAAUUCAACGAAUUUGCUAGUCACUGAGUUUUGGGUUUAAACAACUAAACAAAGCGCCUAAAAAACAAAAAAAAAACCCAAAACAGAAACAAAAAUAAUUAUUGAUUUCAAGACUCUGUAUAUUCCAAAAGUCACCGACAUGCGCAAUCCGUUUGAUCCACGGAAGGAGAACAAAGAUAAAUGAAGAGAAUUAGGACUGAAUUCUCUUUCCGAUCUGCUUCUUCAACAAAUGCACAUCAGUGAUCCACUGAGCCUAAGUUUUCCAUCUAGUCUGAAGACUGAGGUGCAUACGACAUUACUUUUUUUGUCACUGUGUAGUUUCAAAUCACACUGCUCCAGCUAUAGCAUUUUCUUUCAUCAAGUUAAAUAUAAUCUGUCAAGGAAUGGUGGUUCCUCUUGUUACGUUCACGAACUCUUAGAAUUGAUGCCUUUUUAAAGUCACAGUUCUGACCAUGUCUAAAGUGACGUUAGUCUACCUGGGAUAAACUAACUCAGCCAAGACUUGGUAGCUAGAAGAUCCAAGAACUGCACAACAGGCUAUGUAAAGGGAUCUAACACUCUGUUUAGGAACUUACAUAUUUUUGUUAAAGAGAAAAACGUUAUUUCAUUAAUUCUGGCUUAGAAUCUUAAGACAAUAAAAGCAAAUUACAACAUUU